GCGCGGGACACCUUGGCACUGUCGGAGGAGGCUGGACGCGGGGAGGAUGCGAGGAGCAGCGCCGCGCCGGCAGCAGCAGCAGCAGCGACAGGAGCCUCCGGCGAUGAGAGCCCCGCAGCAGCAGCAGCAGCCGUGGCUGCCCCUCUGAGCGCCGCUCCUACCAACUUGGAGAGCGGGGAGGAGCUGCCCAGCCUGGCACCGCAGGAGCGGCUCGGCGGCACCGGCGACCCUCUUCCUCGCGUGGAGGCGGCGGCGGGUCUCCCCUUUCCCCGCUGUGGGCAGAGGAAGAGUUGCGCGGACCCCCGUCCCCACAGCGUGGCUGCGAGAGGCGGCGGGAGCAGGGCAGUCUUGGGGCGCCGGGCGGGGAGGCUGGAGCUUUGGAAGGGCUGCCGAGGGAAGAAGCAGAAGAGGAGGGCGCCUCUGGAGAGGGCGAGGAGGCGGCGGCGCAGGAGGAGGCGCAGGAGAGCGGCAGACGCGGCAGCCUCGUCCGCGCCCAGCGAUGGCUCCUGCCUGGAGCCGGGGAGUUUCUGGCCCCGGCGGGAUCGUCCUGCUCCUGCUGCUGGGGGGCAUCUGCAACCUGAGGCUUUGCCACGCAGGUAAGACUCGGCGCGGCUCGUGGGAACGCGAGCGGGGCUGAGGGUGGGGGGGGGGGGAAGGCGGGUAGCGCUGCUUGGUCUCUUCAGGACUUUGCUGAGGUGGAGAGAGACUUGUAUCCUCUCCUGGUUUCCCACCCGCUUCCUAAAAGUUACCUCAGACUUUCAAACAGCCCCACACCCCUACCUCGAGCCCGUUUCCCACUUUGCCGCUUGUGCAUAUGGAUUCUUCUGCCCGCGCUUAUUCCGGCGGCGUCGAGAAGGGGAGCUGGAUUACUGGGGAGGGGGGGGAGUAAAGAAACGAAAAUAAUUGUUUUGCGCUAUCGCCCUCUCUCGCUCUCCCCCACCCCUCUUUUAGUAAUCGAACACCCCAAACAACGUUGCUAGUAAGCGGUAGCGGUAGCGGGGGAGGGCGGGGGCCUCGGCUGGCCGAGUUUGCCCCGCGCUGGUAGGACAACAGGACGGUUCCCCCCGCUGUUCUCCUCAGACGCCGCGGUUUUGAAGAGAGGGUGGCGGAGAGGCGCGGUUGCCUCGGUCUGAGGGACGGGGAAAGUCAGGGAAAAGAAGUCGUCGUGGUGCUGCCUGAGUCAGGGGGACCCAAAGAGGAGAGGUUUCCACAAGUGCAUCGGGAAUAGUUCCCAAACACAGCCCCCCGCCCCUCAAUGCUCGGAAGUAGCUGCACUGGUGCUCAGGGCGCAGCCUUUUCUCUGAGUGCAGGUCGGAGGAGCGUUUUCCAACCUUCCUUAGGAAAGAUUUUUCUUUCUUCUUCUUGCCUCCCAGAAAGGUGAAUAUAUAAUCCAGCCCACCUUGCAAAAAAAGGUUUGCUUGGAAGGGGGACGCAGGAUCCCCGAUCUCGGGGCAGGUGCAUGUGAAGGAUGCUCGUCCUCUGUGUACGAUUAACUCGGGAAUAAAGCCUACUCGUUUCACUUACUCCGAGGAAGGCAGCGUUGGGAUUCACACUUCGGAGGAGUGAGUUCUGCAGGGUCGUGAUGCAUGUGUGCAUAAGUUUGUGGCGUUACGUUGGCAGCCAGUGCGCGCUUACCUGGGAGUAAACCCCAUGGAACCUACACUUGCACCUGAGUAAAUGCACAAAUGUUAUAUAUAUGCAAGUAACUGCACACAUUUCCCCUGAAAUCCAGGUUCCUGGUUAAUUGACAGCAAUAACUCUUAUACUUUUUGCCAGGUGAUGGGGGUUGACUGACUCCACUCGUAAUUCAAGCAGAAGUGGGUGAUACUGCUCUGAAUCUUUGUCAUGAGAGCCCGUGGUGGAAAUCUGAACGUUUUAAAAAAGUAAAUUGUCAGAGUCCUAAAGCAAUGUGCCUGACUCUUUCAGAGACUAUCUGUAUUGAAUAGUCACUGUGCAUUAAUUACCCCUUGGAAAGCAAUGCUUAAAAAAAAAAAAUCUGUGCAAAAGCAAUCUGGAUUCUCUCCUGCGACAGGAACUAACUGACUGGGAUGUAACCGCCCCUCCCUGAGUGGCAUCUGAGUAGGUAUGUUGCUGGCCUGAGAGACUGCAAUUCAAAGUAAAUCACCUACUUCAAACCAGGCUGCUAAUUUGAGGCGACUCCUGCAUGAACUCUCUUCCACAGCCUUACUGUUUUAGACUCCAUCCCUAAUGCACCCUUUCGCUUGAGCAGGAAGUCUUCUUGAACUCAGUGGGGCUUGCUUCCAAUUUAACACCAUAGUGUUUGUGCUGUUAAGCUGCUAUCUGAAAUAGGUUAUAUGGGGAGUAAGUCCUGUUGAUUGUCUGUUUCCACACAUCACUUUAGGAUAUGUUGUAGUAAUCUGUUGCAGCAGGAGGAAGCCAGAGCGAGGUGUUGGUUAUCUUCCUGACCAGCUUAUUUGGAGACAAGUUCCACAGAGUUCAACAGGACAUCUAUGUAGCGCAUUUAGGAAGGGGGAAUCAAGUGUAGAGUGAUUAUCGGGCUGGUUUUCUCUCUCUCUCCAGGAUAAAGCUGAAAGGUCAAAGAAGAAUCUUUCUAAUUGUCAAAAUAGGCUCUAACAGGAAACUGCAAGGGGGUCUGCAUGUGUGUUUGGGGCUAACCCUUGAAGUUUUAAGACAUCUGAGCUGGUUUGAGGAAGGUAAUGUGGGCUUCUGUCUUUCUUCAGGAUUGUUAAGUAUUUCUGUGGUCUGUGCAGCCAUAAUCAUGUGUUUAUUAGGGAGAGAUUUCUACUUGGAAAAACACACUCACCGCCUUCCCUGGGAAGAGUCUCCUGUUCAGUUGGUUUGGCUGGAGAGUUGUGGCCUAAAUAUAUUCUGUUGGACUGAUACUUGUUUUCAUGUACUCCAUCCUCUUUUAAUAUCCUUUUGCUUUAGGGUCUGUCACAGCAGACCCCUGCUGCGUUCCAGGCCUGACAGGGUGAACUAAUCCACGCACCUUUAUGUUUUCCUGUUUAUCUCUGGCUGUUUUGACAGAGAUCUGUAAUCCUUGCUUGCUGCAAGUCCUCCUGAAACUCAGCAGGGGCUAUGUAGAUUUGUAAAGGACAGUGCUAUUUGAACUAAGAUUUUUU